rnacentral:siRNA from 1 species
GAGCUGCCGUUAUCACCGCCAAC